AUUGAACGCUGGCGGCAGGCCUAACACAUGCAAGUCGAGCGAGCGGCGGACGGGUGAGUAAUGUAUGGGGACUGCCCGAUGGAGGGGGAUAACUACUGGAAACGGUGGCUAAUACCGCAUACUAUCGGAUAACCCAUAUGGGAUUAGCUAGUAGGUGGGGUAAAGGCUCACCAAGGCGACGAUACCUAGCUGGUCUGAGAGGGUGACCGGCCACACUGGGACUGAGACACGGCCCAGACUCCUACGGAGGCAGCAGUGGGGAAUAUUCGACAAUGGGCGGAAGCCUGACGCAGCAAUGCCGCGUGUGUGAAGAAGGCCUUAGGGUUGUAAAGUACUUUCGUCGGAGAGGCGGUACCCACCGAAAAAGCACCGGCUAACUCCGUGCCAGCAGCCGCGGUAAUAC
rnacentral:rRNA from 1 species